UUCAUGACGGAACAAAUCCAAUUUUUCAACUCUUGCAAAUAAGCAAAUGAAGCGCGUUGAAUGUGUCAAAAAUUCAUUCAUCCACAUAACCUGCUCCAUUUGCAUCAUUCACGUCUCCUGACAAGGACUUGCACUUGUGUCUUUAAAGUGACUUAAUGUAGUGCUCCUAGUGCUCCUAGUGUUGGUUUUUCAUUGUUGGCUUUGAAUGCAGCCUCUUGGAAGUAGGUCAACUCCUCCACUUAAUCAGGUGAACCAUAUCAAAGGCACCUGUGGCAAAAUGGCUGCCUCUUUGUCUGGUUUGCCUGCUGGUUGCCACAUGUUCCUUGCACUGAGCCCCCUGUCUGCCUCUCUGCCUUGGGUGAACUGGUGUCUGGUCUGAUUAAGUGUCUGUUGAUCCUUUUGCUUGAGGCUUCCUUGGUAGCUGUUCCUGAGUCAUUGUUACAGUGAAGCAAGUUCCUUGCCAUAUCAGCUGCUGUUUUGCCUAUUUUUUUGACUGUUUUGCCGUUAUUGUUGCUUUGCCCUGAGUGACUGUUUUUGUUUUGCCUUUUAUUGACUGAUUUGUACUCUUAAUAGAACCAACUGGUUUAAUUGAUUUCUUUUGUUUAACACUUUUGUUAAUUUCCCUAUAGUGAGGUGGUUGCCAGCUGCUGGUCGAGGCUAGGCACUCUAGGUAGUUCCCUGCACUGUUUGUAGUGGUAAGCACAGCGGGACACCAUAGUUUGCACCUGUUUGCUGUGAGUUCAUGAGUGGUGCACUCCUGGAACACACCACUUGAUGUUAGGCUGCCUCCCCUCUGCUGGCACCCCUCACUUCCCCCUCCCAUUUUGCUAAUUUUAAAUCUGUUUUUAAAUAAACAAAUUACACUAAUAAACUUUAA